UCCGAAGGGGGCUAUCGUUGUUCGGAAUUACUGGGCGUAAAGCGCACGUAGGCGGAUUAGUAAGUCAGGGGUGAAAUCCCGGGGCUCAACCUCGGAACUGCCUUUGAUACUGCUGGUCUCGAGUGCGGAAGAGGUGGGUGGAAUUCCUAGUGUAGAGGUGAAAUUCGUAGAUAUUAGGAAGAACACCAGUGGCGAAGGCGGGUCACUGGUCCGGUACUGACGCUGAGGUACGAAAGCGUGGGGAGAAAACAGG
rnacentral:rRNA from 1 species